rnacentral:lncRNA from 1 species
UCUCUCCCCUGCCCCUUCCUCCCAGCUGCUGAGAGACCCUCUCUUUUCCUGGCUCCUCUGCUCUCCCAACUCCCCCAGCCCUCUUCUUCCAUCUCAUCCUCCUCUCCCGCCCCUGUCCCCUCUGCCUCCAGGAUUCUGCUGGUUCCCCCCGCAGGGAGCACUUUGACCUCUGCUCCAGCUGCUUUGGACCAGGCUCCCCUCCAGCCCCCACUGCCCCCACCGUGAGGGCUGCUGAUCAAGAGGUCCCACCUAGCCAGGUAAGAAGACCCUUGGCAUCCCUGGCCCCUCAGCCUCAUAGUAAGCCCCUAGCCCCACCUGGGGCCCCUGGACAGACCAGGCCCAGCUCCACCCUAUCCAGGAUGCUUUCAGCACGGGAGAACUUUAAAAGCCUGUUGCUCUGGGCGGCUGGGACAGCAGGAAGCUCUGGGCCACUGGGCCA